AUGAGAAUUUUCUUCCACAAGGCCCAUCUCUGGUAUUGAAAUUUACUCUGAAGAUCUGAGAGGAUUCGCUUCCCGGCGAUUAGUUCGAAUAACUGUGGAACUUACACGAAGAAUAGCAAGAAGAUCCUUUUCCCUCGAACAACAACUGAGAGGGUCCUAGUGCCUGAUUGGAUUUGUAAUCCUAGUGCCUGGAUAUUUUUGGCAAUCCUAGUGCCUGGGUAACGUUGAGAAUCCUAGUGCCUGGUUACGUUCUGGAGUCUGGUAUAUGGUAUGGUUUGAGGUUAUGGUACUUAUUUUCUGGUAAAUUUCUGGUGCAGCUCUGGUGGAUGGUAUUUUCUGAUAGAUAGUACAGUUCGAGUAUAUAGUAUAUUGCUGGCAUAUGGUGUACUUUGAGUAGAUGGUAUAUUCUACGUAUAGAGAUCUCACCGUUAGAUUUGCAGUCAACCUUCAAUAUUGAUUUUGUAUCAGGUAACCGGUGCUUGCACUGGCUUUAAUGAGUAUUGUACUGAGAUUUAAUUUUGGAAGUAACGAUUUAGUGUACUGAUAGUAAAUCAGUCAUUUGAAUAGGAAUUAACGGUUUUAAUAUAAAUUUUCUAUCCAUUGAUAGUAAUAUUGUAAAUAUAUUGAUCAAAGGUUGUUUCAUGCUUAUUAUACACUGUCUCAAUUGUAAACAGUUUGCGGUGAGGUGCACUUCACUAACUGGCCAUUUAUUUUAACAACUAUAAUACUUGUGUAUCCCUUCAGGAUUUGUGACUGGAAUUUAUUAUUACUUUAUUCAACCUACUAUUUUAUACCAGCCAGUUAUUACAACCACUGUAUUUGUAUAGUCCUUCAGAAUCUGUGGUUGAGGUCAAUCUUCUUGUUUAACUUGGUUAUUUUGUCUGGUUUAUUAUCUGGUUUAGUUGGAGUUUGUUGAACUCUGUUUACGUUUAGUUUUGGUACUGAAGUUUUAGGUUUAGCCUAAGCCAAGUGUGGCUGAUAUAUAUUCUAUUUUGAGGAUUAGUUUAGGCAUUAUAGGUUAUAGGAAGCCCUUCUGGCAUUUGUUGUUGAUUAUAGGUUAUAGGAAGCCCUUCUGGCAUUUGUUGUUGAUUAUAGUUUUAGGAAG